rnacentral:tRNA from 1 species
AGUGGUUAGGCACUUAGCUGCUAACCAAAAGGUUGGUGGUUCAAACCCACCAGCCACUC